rnacentral:rRNA from 1 species
GGGCUGCUCCUAGUACGAGAGGACCGGAGUGGACGCAUCACUGGUGUUCGGGUUGUCAUGCCAAUGGCACUGCCCGGUAGCUAAAUGCGGAAGAGAUAAGUGCUGAAAGCAUCUAAGCACGAAACUUGCCCCGAGAUGAGUUCUCCCUGAGACUUAGAGUCUCCUGAAGGAACGUUGAAGACGACGACGUUGAUAGGCCGGGUGUGUAAGCGCAGCGAUGCGUUGAGCUAACCGGUACUAAUGAACCGUGAGGCUUAACCUUACAACGCCGAAG